ACCUGCGCCACCCAAAUGCGGAAAGUUAGGAGAGGAAGAGAGACGGGAGCACACAGACGCACGUUCUAGAGAAAUUAUCAGAACUGUGCAGGGGUUACAGUAAAUUUGCGGACUCGAAGUUGGCGAUACGGUAUCUCGUAAAGCUCCCUUAUUACCCUUUUGAUUAAAAAUAUUACAUACGAGGCGAGGCGGUUUGAGGUUGCGUUAGUAAGUAGACCACGUCCCCAGCCACUCUGGGGAACCAACGGGGAGGUCACCCAGGUCACCCGGCGGUCCCACCCAGGGGCCUCUGCUCCGCUGCCGGCGAGGGCGUAGGCUCAGCAGGCGGAGACAACGCCUAAAGGGACUAGUUGGCACGCAGACCGGGCGUGGUGACGUCAGGGCGGAAGCGCACGCUGCGUGAAGCGGCCAGAACCCGGCGGUCACGGGAAUAUCCGUCGCGCCGAGAACGCUGGUUAGUCUCACUCCGGGUUCCGGCUGCGUUGGGCGUGCGUGCAGCUCGCUGAGACUAUGGCGUCCGGGCCUCACCCGACCGCUACCACUGCCACCGCCGUCUCGUCUGCUGCCCCUAGCGCGGGCGGCUCAAGCUCCGGCACGACGACCACGACGACGACCACGACGGGAGGGAUCCUGAUCGGCGACCGUCUCUACUCGGAAGUUUCGCUCACCAUCGAUCACUCGCUGAUUCCGGAGGAGCGGCUCUCGCCCACCCCUUCCAUGCAGGACGGGCUCGACCUGCCCAGCGAGACAGACUUGCGCAUCCUGGGCUGCGAGCUCAUCCAGGCCGCCGGCAUUCUCCUCCGGCUUCCGCAGGUGGCGAUGGCAACGGGUCAGGUGUUGUUUCAUCGUUUUUUCUACUCCAAGUCUUUCGUCAAACACAGUUUCGAGAUUGUUGCCAUGGCAUGUAUUAAUCUUGCAUCAAAAAUUGAAGAAGCACCUAGAAGAAUAAGAGAUGUGAUUAAUGUAUUUCACCACCUCCGCCAGUUAAGAGGAAAAAGCGACCAGCUACAUUUACCAAAGCCUGGGUGAUGUGGAGUGGUACAUAGCGAUGAAGCUGUCGUCAUGGCAACAGUGAGUGAAGUAUCGAAAAUCCCCAAGGAGAAGCCAGUGCUCUGAGAAUAGGUCACUGGAAUCGGGGACUAACAGGACUCCAAGCCCCCUGAUCCUUGAUCAGAACUACAUUAACACCAAAAAUCAAGUUAUCAAGGCAGAGAGGAGGGUGCUAAAGGAAUUGGGAUUUUGUGUUCAUGUCAAGCAUCCCCAUAAGAUCAUUGUUAUGUAUUUACAAGUCUUAGAAUGUGAACGUAAUCAAACCCUGGUUCAAACUGCCUGGGUAGUCCAUGAUGGAAUUAUAUGAAUGACAGUCUUCGAACCAAUGUAUUUGUUCGAUUUCAACCAGAGACUAUUGCAUGUGCUUGCAUCUACCUUGCAGCUAGAGCUCUUCAGAUUCCAUUGCCAACUCGUCCCCAUUGGUUUCUUCUUUUUGGUACUACGGAAGAGGAGAUCCAAGAAAUCUGCAUAGAAACGCUUAGGCUUUAUACCAGAAAAAAGCCAAACUAUGAAUUGCUGGAAAAAGAAGUAGAGAAAAGAAAAGUUGCCUUACAAGAAGCCAAACUAAAAGCAAAGGGAUUGAAUCCUGAUGGAACUCCAGCCCUUUCAACUCUCGGUGGAUUUUCUCCAGCCUCUAAACCAUCAUCACCAAGAGAAGUAAAAACUGAAGAGAAGUCACCUAUUUCUUCUGUUAAUGUGAAGACGAUAAAAAAAGAACCUGAGGAUAGACAACAGGCUUCUAAAAGCCCUUACAAUGGUGUAAGAAAAGACAGCAAGAGAAGUAGAAAUAGCAGAAGUGCAAGUCGAUCAAGGUCAAGAACACGAUCACGUUCUAGAUCACAUACUCCAAGAAGACAUUAUAACAAUAGGCGGAGUCGAUCUGGAACAUACAGCUCGAGAUCAAGAAGCAGGUCCCGCAGUCACAGUGAAAGCCCAAGACGACAUCAUAAUCAUGGUUCUCCUCACCUUAAAGCCAAGCAUACCAGAGAUGAUUUAAAAAGUUCAAAUAGACAUGGUCAUAAAAGGAAAAAGUCUCGUUCUCGAUCUCAGAGCAAGUCUCGGGAUCACUCAGAUGCUGUCAAGAAACACAGGCAUGAAAGGGGACAUCAUAGGGACAGGCGUGAAAGAUCUCGCUCCUUUGAGAGGUCCCACAAAGGCAAGCACCAUGGUGGCAGUCGCUCAGGACACGGCAGGCACAGACGCUGACUUUCUUCCUUUGAGCCUGCAUCAACUCCUGAUUUUGCCUAUCUACAGUGUGAUGUAUGGACUCAUAAUCAAAAUAUUAAAAGCAAACUGAUUAGGAUUUGAUUUCUUAAACCCUCUAGGUCUCUAGAAACACUGAGGACAUUUUCUUUUGAAAAGAACUAUGUUGUUUUUGUUUUUGUUUUUUUUUUUUGCACAUAAAAUGCCCUAGCAGUAUCUAAUUGAAAACCAUGGUCAGGUUCAAUUGUAAUUAUUAUAGUUGUGUAUUGUUUAUUGCUAUAAGAACUGGAGCGUGAAUUCUGUAAAAAUGUAUCUUAUUUUUAUACAGAUAAAAUUGCAGACACUGUUCUAUUUAAGUGGUUAUUUGUUUAAAUGAUGGUGAAUACUUUCUUAACACUGGUUUGUCUGCAUGUGUAAAGAUUUUUACAAGAAAAUAAAAUACAAAUCUUGUUUUUCUAAA